CGGCGAGUGAAGCGGCAACAGCUCAGAUUUGAAAUCUGGUCCCCAGGGCCCGAGUUGUAAUCUGUAGAGGAUGCUUUUGGCAAGGCGCCGUCCGAGUUCCCUGGAACGGGACGCCAUAGAGGGUGAGAGCCCCGUACAGGCGGACGCCGAGCCUCUGUAAAGCUCCUUCGACGAGUCGAGUAGUUUGGGAAUGCUGCUCAAAGCGGGAGGUAAAUUUCUUCUAAAGCUAAAUACCGGCCAGAGACCGAUAGCGCACAAGUAGAGUGAUCGAAAGAUGAAAAGCACUUUGAAAAGAGAGUUAAAAAGCACGUGAAAUUGUUGAAAGGGAAGCGCCUGUGACCAGACUCGCGCCCGGCGGAUCAUCCGGCGUUCUCGCCGGUGCACUCCGCCGGGCUCGGGCCAGCAUCGGUUCUCGUGGGGGGAUAAAGGCUUCGGGGAUGUGGCUCCUCCGGGAGUGUUAUAGCCCGUUGCUCAAUGCCCUCGCGGGGACCGAGGACCGCGCAUUGCAAGGAUGCUGGCGUAAUGGUCACCAGCGACCCGUCUUGAAACACGGACCAAGGAGUCAAGCAUUNNGGCGAGUGUUUGGGUGUAAAACCCGCACGCGAAAUGAAAGUGAACGUNNNGGGAGCCUCGGCGCACCAUCGACCGAUCCUGAAGUCUUCG
rnacentral:rRNA from 1 species